rnacentral:rRNA from 1 species
AGAGUUUGAUCCUGGCUCAGGAUGAACGCUGGCGGCGUGCUUAACACAUGCAAGUCGAACGGUGAACACGGAGCUUGCUCUGUGGGAUCAGUGGCGAACGGGUGAGUAAUGCCUAGGAAUCUGCCUGGUAGUGGGGGACAACGUUUCGAAAGGAACGCUAAUACCGCAUACGUCCUACGGGAGAAAGCAGGGGACCUUCGGGCCUUGCGCUAUCAGAUGAGCCUAGGUCGGAUUAGCUAGUUGGUGAGGUAAUGGCUCACCAAGGCGACGAUCCGUAACUGGUCUGAGAGGAUGAUCAGUCACACUGGAACUGAGACACGGUCCAGACUCCUACGGGAGGCAGCAGUGGGGAAUAUUGGACAAUGGGCGAAAGCCUGAUCCAGCCAUGCCGCGUGUGUGAAGAAGGUCUUCGGAUUGUAAAGCACUUUAAGUUGGGAGGAAGAGCAGUAAAUUAAUACUUUGCUGUUUUGACGUUACCGACAGAAUAAGCACCGGCUAACUCUGUGCCAGCAGCCGCGGUAAU